rnacentral:rRNA from 1 species
GCGAAGAACCUUACCAGGUCUUGACAUCUUCUGCUAACCUAAGAGAUUAGGCGUUCCCUUCGGGGACGGAAUGACAGGUGGUGCAUGGUUGUCGUCAGCUCGUGUCGUGAGAUGUUGGGUUAAGUCCCGCAACGAGCGCAACCCUUAUUAUUAGUUGCCAGCAUUAAGUUGGGCACUCUAGUGAGACUGCCGGUGACAAACCGGAGGAAGGUGGGGACGACGUCAAAUCAUCAUGCCCCUUAUGACCUGGGCUACACACGUGCUACAAUGGACGGUACAACGAGUUGCGAGACCGCGAGGUUUAGCUAAUCUCUUAAAACCGUUCUCAGUUCGGACUGCAGGCUGCAACUCGCCUGCACGAAGUUGGAAUCGCUAGUAAUCGCGGAUCAGCAUGCCGCGGUGAAUACGUUCCCGGGCCUUGUACACACCGCCCGUCACACCAUGAGAGUUUGUAACACCCAAAGCCGGUGGAGUAACCUUCGGGAGCUAGCCGUCUAAGGUGGGACAGAUGAUU